AUCGAUGACAUCUUGUUCACGAUAGAUGUCAGAAAACAACAACAAUGUCUAGUCGUCUGCUACAAUCACAUUGACAAAUUGACUGUGUUCCUUCCUUUCUAAUGCAACGGCGUUAAUUUUAUAACUGUCACCUAGAAGUGUCAACCUCAAACUGCUCACAAGGCAGGAUAAAUCCAACAUCAAUACCAUGGAUUGAAAUCUUUGACAAAGAGUAAAUAAGUCAACAAAAAACUGAAAAAAGAGAAGUUAUAGUCGUUUGACAUUCUGUCUGUAUAUUGCCUGCUCUGCACACGGUCACGGACACAUUUCGCCGUCGUCAUCGCAAAAAAGAAAGCAAGCACGAAGAUAAUCUCACUUAACUAGCACGCUCAACACUGUACAAAAUCAAUUGUUAUUAAUUAAUUAUUCAUAUUAUUAUAAGGCAGUUAUAGCAAUCAUGGGAGGGAGACAAAAUAAACGAACGAACAAAAGAUGGACCUCUCGUUUUGUCGUGGAGAAAAUGGGGGGGGGGGAACACACACGCACUCAA